rnacentral:tRNA from 1 species
GGAUUGUGGCUCAGUGGUAGAGAGCUCGCCUAGCAUGUGCGAGGCCCUGAGUUCAAUCCUCAGCACCA